AUUGAACGCUGGCGGCAGGCCUAACACAUGCAAGUCGAGCGGGGUUUUCGGACCUAGCGGCGGACGGGUGAGUAAUGCGUAGGAAGCUACCCGAUAGAGGGGAUACCAGUUGGAACGACUGUUAAUACCGCAUAAUGUCUACGGACCAAAGUGUGGGACCUUCGGGCCACAUGCUAUCGGAUGCGCCUACGUGGGAUUAGCUAGUUGGUGGGGUAAUGGCUCACCAAGGCGACGAUCCCUAGCUGGUUUGAGAGGAUGAUCAGCCACACUGGAACUGAGACACGGUCCAGACUCCUACGGGAGGCAGCAGUGGGGGAAUAUUGGACAAUGGGCGCAAGCCUGAUCCAGCCAUGCCGCGUGUGUGAAGAAGGCCUGGUGUAAG
rnacentral:rRNA from 1 species